UACGUAGGGUGCGAGCGUUGUCCGGAAUUACUGGGCGUAAAGAGCUCGUAGGUGGUUUGUCGCGUUGUUCGUGAAAACUCACAGCUUGACUGUGGGCGUGCGGGCGAUACGGGCAGACUGGAGUACUGCAGGGGAGACUGGAAUUCCUGGUGUAGCGGUGGAAUGCGCAGAUAUCAGGAGGAACACCGGUGGCGAAGGCGGGUCUCUGGGCAGUAACUGACGCUGAGGAGCGAAAGCGUGGGGAGCGAACAGG
rnacentral:rRNA from 1 species